rnacentral:rRNA from 1 species
AAAGGGCUGCAGUAGCUUGACUGUGCGAAGGUAGCAUAAUCAUUUGUCUUUUAAUUGAAGGCUGGAAUGAACGGUUUGAUGAAGGAUUCAGUGUCUUUGUUUUAUAUCUAGAAUUUUACUUUUAAGUUAAAAGGCUUAAAUAUUAUUAAAUGACGAUAAGACCCUAUAAAACUUUAUAUGAUUGAAUUUCGUUUCUCUAGGAAGGUUACAUAAAGAUCUUGAUUUACAUCAUAUUAUGUUGGGGCGACAGGAAUAGGAAAAUCAUCUGUUUCUAAUAAGAGGUUAGCUAUAAUUAUAAAUGAUCCCUUACUAAGGAUUAAAAGAAUAAGUUACUUUAGGGAUAACAGCGCUAUGUUCUUUGAGAGAUCUUAUUAACAAGAAUAGUUGCGACCUCGAUGUUGAAUUAAAAUAUACUAUUAGGCGUAGAAGCUUAAUGAAGUAAGUCUGUUCGACUUUUAAAAUUUUACAUGAUUU